UCGUAGACGGUGAGCCAUACAAUAGAGCGGAUGGGCGGACGGUUAACGAGACGACUAAUUCGAAGUAACCGUCAAGCUAGCAAGUGAAGACGGGAACGGACCUCGAUGCUCGCCACCCGCACUCAAACUGACUGCCGUCACAACUCGCUACUAGCCUCAGCCGAAGCCACUAGCUUACUAGCUCGCUAACCGCACGGAAAGAUGACCCAAGAUAUGGGACGGACUGGGUGUCUCUGGGUCUCCGCAGCAAAUUACUUCCUCGCGUUGGACUGCGUGGUCGAGUGGGGCCUUAGUCGAUGGGGAGGGAAGCUAUCGUCGUGUUGGGCCUCCGGGCCCCGAACCCUCCGUUGAACGCGAUACUCUUCGUUUGGGCCCGACUGGCUUAUCGCACGAGAAACACGAUGGGCACACUACAACACUACACUCCUGAAAGAUCGCGGAUUCUCCAAAAGAUAAAUUUUCUCCUGGAACUUAAGACAUGGCUUCUCGUAAGUUGAGGCGGUUUUUCGUGAAAUUUAAACUGGUUUUCAGUGAUAUAAUAACGAGUAAAUAAAUGACUCGGUGCAGCUUCUUCGAGCUCGUGAAGAUCAUAGAAUCAGCAAUGUUUGGCAAAUAUAAGACGAAGUUGAUGCUAUUGAUAGUGCAUUACUGUUGGUAAUUGUGAGACCAUCGAAUUUCUUCAUACCAUGUUCGACCACCGGACGAUACUGACUUAUAUCUUUUAAUGACGUUAGUCAACAACGUACAUAGGUGGAAUACAUUUGUAGAUAAAUGUCCGAUUGUACUAACAGUGUAGAUCAAGAAAAACAGAAUUGAGGCAACGUUCAAGAAGUAAUUCAUUGGUAAUUAGAAGCACCCAUUAUAAAGUGCAAGAUGAAAAUGAUAAGGAUAGGGCGCCAAGAAAACUUGACACGGCCCUGAAGAUAGGAAUUGAACGACACAGCCGGCACGAUGAGUACUGUUGUGUGUUAUGGCGCCUGCUUACGGUCGGUAGGAAUCCGUUCCAGCUGACAAGGCAGGAGCAUUGUAAUAUCUAUGGAUAACGUAGAACAUGCCGCAAAAUGCGCAGGUAAAUCUGAUCCGCUCCGUAAGUCUUUCAAUGACGUUUAAACUAUUGACCUAUUAAAGUGUAAUAAAAACGACUACAUUUUCUUCCCUUCUCAACCUGAUCACGUGUCUUUGAUUCGUUGCAACUGUAAACAUUGCAGGCACCACGGAUGCACAGCUGGUACAUUGAAAAUUCCACAACGAUGGCCAACGAUUCACUACGGAAAGCAAUAAAUCUCUGCCAAACCCCAUCCUAGCAUAUUGCACGACUUUUAAUUAAGAACCACUAAGUUGGAAAAAAAUGUUCUGCUGUCUACUAUAUACAAUUCAUAAUGACAUUCUCCAUGAGAUUUCAACUGCACGUGGAAGGCUGACCCAGUACCAAUCACACGGGUAUUUUAACAUAUAAGUCUUCAAGGUUAACAUUAGGCUCGCAUCACAAUUCCAUGUUCUAUACUUGAAAUCCAUAACCUUUUUUAAGAAAAUGGAAAUUUAUAAUUAUCAUUUCACAAAUUACAUCAUAAUCAAUGUAAUCGUCCAUCGUUCAAUAUAUAGUUAUAUAUUCA